rnacentral:rRNA from 1 species
UACGGGAGGCAGCAGUGGGGAAUAUUGCACAAUGGGCGCAAGCCUGAUGCAGCCAUGCCGCGUGUAUGAAGAAGGCCUUCGGGUUGUAAAGUACUUUCAGUCGUGAGGAAGGUGUUAAGGUUAAUAACCUUAGCAAUUGACGUUAGCGACAGAAGAAGCACCGGCUAACUCCGUGCCAGCAGCCGCGGUAAUACGGAGGGUGCGAGCGUUAAUCGGAAUUACUGGGCGUAAAGGGCACGCAGGCGGUUAAUUAAGUUGGAUGUGAAUCCCCGGGCUUAACCUGGGAAUGGCAUUCAAGACUGGUUAGCUAGAGUCUUGUAGAGGGGGUAGAAUUCCAUGUGUAGCGGUGAAAUGCGUAGAGAUGUGGAGGAAUACCGGUGGCGAAGGCGGCCCCUGGACAAAGACUGACGCUCAUGUGCGAAAGCGUGGGGAGCAAACGAGGAUUAGAUACC